CAACUUUACUGUAGUAAGUGUACAGUGGUGCCAAAUCUUUACCCAUGGCGAGGUAAAAUUGUUUAAUGUGUACGUGUGGGGGAGCGCGUCUCUCUUAUUUUAUGUAUUUUCAUAAUUUAUAAGAGUUGUAUGUUGCCUCUAGUGUAAUAACUAAAUAUAUUAAGUGAAUUGUGUUGUACGAACCUGACACAGAAAACCUAUACAUGACUAAUGGUGAAGGGCUGGCCAAAUGCUAUGAUGUGUUUACAGAAAUGAACAAGAGCAAGAGGAACCACAGUGCCACUCUUAAAGGUCCAGCACAACAUGCCACAGAAGGGUUAACACAGGGUAUGGUUUAGGUUUGUCUUACUUACCAUAAGAACAAUAGGAUCAAUGAAGACCCAGCACACCUUCCAGAACAUCGAGGGAGUGUAACCCAGCAUGAAUUUGAGGUCCUCACUGAAGCGCCGGACUCCAUACACCCAGUGAAGGGCAAUCAGCUCAAAAAUGGCAACAAGCAGCACACCAACACCGCCUCCAAAACUAUCAAUCAGGUAGAAUAUGUAUUGACCCGUCUGGAAAAAACAAAUGACCUAUUCAAAUUACCAGAGUCCAGUCCAAGUGUGAAAAGCAUGAAGAAGAAGAGAACUGACCACAGCUGUGGGAUUGGCAGUGUUCUUGAGAUAGCUUCAGGCUCCUUCCAGCCUGACACCAACAACCAGCAGUGCAAUGAGAAUGACAUAUGGGAAAGUGGCAGUGAAAUACACCACUUUGCCUGACGACUUGAUGCCCUUCACCAGGCACAAGAAGACAAUAAUCCACGAAAUCAGGAGGCACACAAUCAGUGGCCAUUCAAUCUCACCAAUCUCACCAAAUUCCUGAAGACCACGCUCGUCCAGGUUUAAUACUCCAUAUCUGAAGAAGAGGUUAAACGCUGUAAGACACAACAUCUAAAGUACAGUAAUUUUGUCUGUCCACAUUAACUCGAAUACUGACGGAUAAUUUUUGCUUUAUACUGUAUAUAUAUAUAUUUUUGUCUUAAUUUUCUAAAUACACAACAGCUAGUUAAUGGGUAAUACUGUAAUGUUCUUUGUAGGAUAUAUUAAUCAACACCCUUCAAUCUGUAGAAAAACAUAGAAUUUUCAAGAUGUACAGGUAUUAUAAUGGAAGUCAACAUCGAAAUUCUUGAUGAAAAGAAAAUUUGAAGUACCUGUAUCUCUUAAGAGUCACCAGAGAUGUUGUACCUCAACACUCUACACCAUACUGUAAUGUUAUAGUGUACUUUCAAAAUAGCCAUGAGUAAAUUUUUAUUAAAACAAAGAAUUUAAGAUACAUUGAAAAGGAUCUAUUUGGCUGGGUUUCUUACUCACUUCCAAUAUUGUGAAGCUGAGGAUUCAUUCUUGGUGGUACAAUUGACGGAAUCUGUGGGACCUGUCAGGUUGUAGCGAGAACAUGGGUAUAAGCCACCUACUUCAAAGCAGUUCUCUCUAGCCCAGUCACUGUUACAAGUUGCCCACGGUACCUGAGAAGAAUUCACGAGUACAGGAUUAUGUUUAGAUUUAAAUCUAUACUGUAUACAGUAAGUCUACUGCAAGUGCUUGUCAUUGGUGGACAUCAUCAGCCAGUAAUCUAGAGUGAAAUGUUUUUAGGACAACACAGACUUGCUGUAAACUUCCCUCUACAUAUAUGAUGGCACAGUCAGCAGUGCUUCAUUGUAAAACACUUGAGAGUUAAAGACACCCCUAAGUUCCAGUUUUAUCCUUUAUCAUCAUAUAAAUGCAGUCAUUAUACACAGGCUGUAUAGACUCUAGAGGUUAUCUAGCUAAAGGUGAAGCAACUAUAUUGACAAAUGUAUAAAUCCUCAUAAGUAGGGUGACAUACAGUACAUCUCUAGACUCCCUUUGGGCCAGCAGACUGGGCAACUAUACUGUAUUAUUGUACUGUAUCUAUUUUUUAUGCAGCUUGGGGUCAGGUAGAAAAUAAACAAAACAUUUAAUGUAAGUUUGAACCAGUAGAACUGUCGCAAUUCUUAAUAUAAUUUAUAAUUUCACCAUUUAUCAGCUUACUAUUACUGUACUAUACUGCAGUAAUAGACCAGGGUAAAUGCAGCUCAUCUAGCAUGUACCAGACUGCCCUGUUCUAAACACCAGAAAACUUCCAAUAGAACCACAUAUAAAAGAUGUCAAAUGUAAACAAAAUUCUUAAGAGUUUGCCAACCAAAGAAUCAGUGAUGCUUACCUCUCUUGCCAUGCUGUGAUACAUGUAGUGGAUUGUGUAGGCCAUGAGUUGGUUGUAGUAUAUGGCAGUGAUAAGGGAGAGAAUCACCAUAGCAAUGCCCACACCUGCAAGACAACAAACUCAUUCCAAACCUGCCAUACAAAAAUACCUGCUUAUUCUCCUCCAACACCGCUAAGCUAAUAACAUACAUUUCUCUACUAUGUUAAUAAUUUUCACACGUACAUUAAUAAUAUUAAAUGUUCAGCCCGAGUAAGAUCAAAUGUAAAUACCAUUAAUGUGAAAAAAGAACAGGCUCCAACCUGACCAGUACAAGAACACUGACCUUUAUAAUUCACUGCAAAGUAAAGUGAACAAUAGAGUCUCUGACCACAUUCUUUACGAUCUAUGACUACUGUACAUCACUGUUGACAAAAAUAAUCUUACUUAUUUUUACAUUAUAAGUAGAUGUAAAAAUUAAGGCUAAUACCGACAACUGCAAUAUUGAUGAUGUAAGGGUGAGAGGGCCAAAUACUAUGACCUUAUAGAUAUAGAGUCACUAACCCUGCAUGACGGGGGCACAGCGCCACACAUUCAGUGGCCCUAAUUGGCUGUACUGCCCAAGUGCUGUCUCCAUCAGGUACAUGGGCUUGCCAAUCAGCACCAGAAGGAUGAUGUAUGGAAAGAGGAAUGCCGCUGAAAAAGAUAAUGUACUUUAGCUCCUGUUGUACACACAAACUCCGCAGUAUAGUUUUAACAAUAUUGUAUAGGUACUUUAAUUACCAUCAUUUAAUUUGCAACAAAAACUAUAAUACAGUAAGUGUACAGUACAGUAUAUUGUAAAAAGCUUAUUCUCAUGGCAAUGGUUCUUCAGCUGUUGACACGGUGAAGAUAAUAGAUGUGAAAAUUAGUUUUGAGGUAAUUAUUUAUUGUUCUAACCUAAACACACUCCCUAAUAAAAUUUACUGUAAUAAGAUAAGCUUAACAAUAAAUGCUUGCUACAGAAUCGUACUUUUAAGUUUUAAAUUCAUACUGUAUUCUUCACUUGUCAGUUAUGUAGUCACUGCCUUUGUUUAUGUUAAACCUACCCUAAAAACAAGUAAUUGUAGCUUAUCUUUAUGCUAUAUUUUGACAAUACUGUACUGCACUGUAUAUUUUUGUAUUGACUGAGGUGAAUCAGUUUGGUACAUUGUUAUGUCUUCAGAUAUGAUGAGUAUAGUGAUUGUGCAAGCCUAUGGGACUGUGGACCAAUUAUUUACAAAGAUGUUAUGAGAACUUCAUUGAUUUUUGCAGUAUCAUCCAUCUCCAUCAUUCCCACAGGAAAGGUAAAAAUAGAUACAGCAAUAUAAUACUGAAGAUAUUAAUGAAGGUACUGUACUAUAUACACUGUAGAUAUUAAAUACCUGUACAGGUAUACUGGAUAGUACUUUAUAUUGUACUGUAUAUUACAGUACAGGUAUAUAUUUAAAAUGUAAAGAUAAAUAUAGUCAGGUAAAUAGA
rnacentral:lncRNA from 1 species